GGAGAGAAGGCCGAAGUAGCGGCCAUCGAGGCUGCCUUCGACCUGCCAGUUCAUCGCGAAGAACUCGCCGGUCUGGAUGCGUUGGCAGCCUUGCCAUUCGGGCAGAUCGCGGCNNNNNNNNNNNNCGCAUGGCCCAUGUCGACGCCAUCGACAGUGAUGACGAGACCCGUCCGGCAGACCACCUGUCCGGAAACCGCGAGCACGCGCUUCAGGAGCGGCACGCCCUUGGGCAGGUAGCCGCGCUUGUCGAGAAAGUCCGCGAGCGGCUCUGGCGCGUCGAUGGCCACAAGGUCCGUGACCUCGAAAAGACCGUCGAAGUCGAUCGUGUAGAAACCGAUCGGCGCACUGGCCGAGGCGUUCCACAUCAGCUUGAUCGGCAUCGGCGUGAGGCCC
rnacentral:misc_RNA from 1 species